UUUCCGUAGGUGAACCUGCGGAAGGAUCAUUAACGAGUUAGGGUCUUCCAGGCCCGACCUCCCAACCCUAUGUUUAUUGAACCUCUGUUGCUUCGGCGGACCCGCCUCACGGCCGCCGGAGGACCGCUGCAAGGCGUCCUCUGGCCAGCGUCCGCCGAUGGCCAACCACUUAAACUCUGAAUGAAUCGUGUCAAAUGUCUAAGUCUAUGAUUAAAUUAAAGCAAAACUUUCAACAACGGAUCUCUUGGCUCUC
rnacentral:misc_RNA from 1 species